rnacentral:rRNA from 1 species
GACAGAGGGUGCAAACGUUGUUCGGAAUUACUGGGCGUAAAGCGCGUGUAGGCGGCUCGGCAAGUCGGGUGCGAAAGCCCUGGGCUUAACCUAGGAAGUGCACUCGAAACUGCCAAGCUUGAGUUCUGGAGAGGAAGGCGGAAUUCUCGGUGUAGAGGUGAAAUUCGUAGAUAUCGAGAGGAACACCGGUGGCGAAGGCGGCCUUCUGGACAGCAACUGACGCUGAGACGCGAAAGCGUGGGGAGCAAACAGG